AUUGAACGCUGGCGGCAUGCCUUACACAUGCAAGUCGAACGGCAGCAUAGAAGAGCUUGCUCUUCUGAUGGCGAGUGGCGAACGGGUGAGUAAAGCAUCGGAACGUACCGUGUAGUGGGGGAUAACGUAGCGAAAGUUACGCUAAUACCGCAUACGCACUGAGGUGGAAAGCAGGGGAUCGCAAGACCUUGCGCUAUACGAGCGGCCGAUGUCAGAUUAGCUAGUUGGUAGGGUAAAGGCCUACCAAGGCGACGAUCUGUAGCGGGUCUGAGAGGAUGAUCCGCCACACUGGGACUGAGACACGGCCCAGACUCCUACGGGAGGCAGCAGUGGGGAAUUUUGGACAAUGGGGGAAACCCUGAUCCAGCAAUGCCGCGUGAGUGAAGAAGGCCUUCGGGUUGUAAAGCUCUUUUGUCUAGGGAAGGAAAACAACCGGGCUCUAACACAGUCCGGGAAUGACGGUACCUGAAGAAUAAGACACCGGCU
rnacentral:rRNA from 1 species